CUUUUCCAUGAUGGCGUUUUCACCCAUAACAAGGUUAUUGUACUAUUCUCUGUAUGUUACCUUCAUCCUUGGAAAUCGCCUUCAGAUGCCGGAGAUACCUUUAGCAAGAUCCUUUUUUCCAGAAAACCUGUUUCUUUCCUCUCUUUCCCAAUUAGCCAGCCUGAAUGAAUUCUACAUUUAUAACUGGUUUCUCCGUAGAAUUUGGUCUGUGACCACAGAGCAAACAGCAAGACCAGGGACACAAGGUAGAGAAGAGUGAGUGGAAAACAUCUCAUCUGAUCUCUACACGGCCAAUGACUGUCGAAGGGGCGGUGCAAUCAGGUCCCUAACCUGCUGGGCCUGCCGCCAGAGGGUCCCGUCCAGGCUGCUGCAGGAGCAGCCCCAGGAACCAGGCCGGACCUCGAGAAGCCGAGGGAAGGGGAGUCGCGGGCUUCAGGCUUCAGAAAGAAGCGAGGCAGGGGAAAUCCCUUCUGGAAGGAGGGGUUGAGGAGGUGUCUGGCCGAGGGUGAGUCUUCAAGAGGGCGGGACAUUAACGCUGUGAUGUGAAGCUCUGCCGGUGUUUUUCUACAGUUCACACAAUCACCAGAAAGCCCGUGUCUUGGCACCAGAACCUGGAGGAACCUGCAGACGAUGGGGCCGGGAGUGGAGACCUCAUACCGUGCCGAUGGAGACAGACAAGUAGCCAGGUUCCUAAAUCUUAUCCACCAGGCCGCUCAGGGGCCACGGAAGAGAUACCCAGACACGCAAACAGAAAGCCCAGAAAUUGGACGGGACUCUGAGGCCUAGGAGUGUGUGCUGAGCCCCUGGGGUGCGCUGGCCCAGGCCCCACGGACUCUGAACCCAGGUUGCCCUCCCUCCCCGGGGGUUGCCUUCUGAUGCCCACCAUCUCCUCUCUGGGUCAGCCCGGAAUGUGACGAGCGCAGGCUGAACCGUGUCAGGGUGCACAGCGACAUUGCGCCCCACAAGGCUAAAGCGUGGAGCUGGCGAGAAGAUGAUCGCCUCGCGUCGUAUUCAGCGCCCACCUCGGUCUCAUCCCUGAAACCCAGCGUGUGGGCUGUGUGGAUAAAUAAAGAUGACUUUCCAGCGUCAGUCUGA